UACGGAGGGGGCUAGCGUUGUUCGGAAUUACUGGGCGUAAAGCGCACGUAGGCGGCUUUGUAAGUUAGAGGUGAAAGCCCAGGGCUUAACCCUGGAAUUGCCUUUAAGACUGCAUCGCUAGAAUCGUGGAGAGGUGAGUGGAAUUCCGAGUGUAGAGGUGAAAUUCGUAGAUAUUCGGAAGAACACCAGUGGCGAAGGCGACUUACUGGACACAUAUUGACGCUGAGGUGCGAAAGCGUGGGGAGCAAACAGG
rnacentral:rRNA from 1 species